GACAGAGGGUGCAAACGUUGUUCGGAUUUACUGGGCGUAAAGCGCGUGUAGGCGGCCUUGCAAGUCAGUUGUGAAAGCCCGGGGCCCAACCCCGGAAUUGCAUCUGAAACUGCCUGGCUGGAGUCCCGGAGAGGAAGGCAGAAUUCCCGGUGUAGGGGUGAAAUCCGUAGAUAUCGGGAGGAAUACCAGCGGCGAAGGCGGCCUUCUGGACGGUGACUGACGCUGAGACGCGAAAGCGUGGGGAGCAAACAGG
rnacentral:rRNA from 1 species